UAGGGAAUCUUGCACAAUGGGCGCAAGCCUGAUGCAGCGACGCCGCGUGCGGGAUGAAUGCCUUCGGGUUGUAAACCGCUUUCAGCAGGGACGAGAUUGACGGUACCUGCAGAAGAAGGCCCGGCCAACUACGUGCCAGCAGCCGCGGUAAUACGUAGGGGCCAAGCGUUGUCCGGAUUUAUUGGGCGUAAAGAGCUCGUAGGCGGUUCGGCAAGUCGAACGUGAAAUCUCCACGCUCAACGUGGAGGGGUCGUUCGAUACUGCCGUGACUAGAGUCCGGUAGGGGAGUGUGGAAUUCCCGGUGUAGCGGUGAAAUGCGCAGAGAUCGGGAGGAACACCCGUAGCGAAGGCGGCACUCUGGGCCGUGACUGACGCUGAGGAGCGAAAGCGUGGGGAGCAAACAGGAUUAGAUACCCCCGUAGUCC
rnacentral:rRNA from 1 species